rnacentral:rRNA from 1 species
GAUGAACGCUGGCGGCGUGCCUAAUACAUGCAAGUCGAGCGAACGGACGAGGAGCUUGCUUCUCUGAUGUUAGCGGCGGACGGGUGGGUAACACGUGGAUAACCUCCCUAUAAGACUGUGAUAACUUCGGGAAACCAGAGCUAAUACCGGAUGAUAUUUUGAACCGCAUGGUUCAACAGUGAAAGACGGUCUUGCUGUCACUUCUAGAUGGAUCCGCGCUGCAUUAGCUAGUUGGUAAGGUAACGGCUUACCAAGGCAACGAUGCAUAGCCGACCUGAGAGGGUGAUCGGCCACACUGGAACUGAGACACGGUCCAGACUCCUACGGGAGGCAGCAGUAGGGAAUCUUCCGCAAUGGGCGAAAGCCUGACGGAGCAACGCCGCGUGAGUGAUGAAGGUCUUCGGAUCGUAAAACUCUGUUAUUAGGGAAGAACAUAUGUGUAAGUAACUGUGCACAUCUUGACGGUACCUAAUCAGAAAGCCACGGCUAACUACGUG